CAGCACCGGCCUUUCCCCGCCGCCGCCCGGCCCGGCUCCGCUCGCCUCAGCACGCGCCGCUCUCCGGCGCCAUGUUCUCCGCCCGCCUCCCCCCGCCGCCCGGCCAAUCCCUCCCGGCGCCCGCGGGGUCCCGUCCGCCCUCCGCGCCCGGGCCUGGCGGGACCCGUACCUGGGGGUGCCGGGAGCUGCCGCCUCUGCCGCCGGGAGGGCCGGGGCUGCGGCUGAGGAGGGGGCCGGGGGCCUCUGGGAGGAGGCGGAGGCGGUGGAGGGGGUGGGUGGCUGGGCGGGGAGCCGGGGCGACACUCGCCGCGGCGGGGGGGCCGCGCCCGGCGGAGGCGGACGGGGUUGCGGCGCGAAGGGCGGCCCCGGGCUGCACCCGCGGAGAGACCGUGUCGCGGCCCGCCCGCUUCCUGGUGGCCGCGCUCCGCGUCCCUGGCGGCCUCUGCCAAACAAAAGUCCCUAGUGCAUGUAAAAGUGAAGACCAAGCUGGACAGAAAGAGGACAGGAUAAAUGGUGAGCUGUUAAAUCUGAAUUCCACCCUGUUGCUGGCAGUGCGUCAGAGAGGCUCAUCCCGUGGUGCCUGACAGAAGGACUGCAGGCUUAUUUAGCGGCUGUUCAAAGUCACUGGUGUGUCCUGCUUUAACCCCAGCCGGCAACGAAGGAUCAGGCAGCCGUUUCCUCCCCCCCACCCGUCCCGGUGUAAUGGGGAGGAGAAUCAAAAGUACAACUUGACUUGAAAUAAGAACAAUUGAGAACUCGACUUGAAAUAAGAACAAUUUAGUAACUGAAACAAAAUAAAUUAUAAAAAUAAUAGUAAAUAACGAUAGUA
rnacentral:lncRNA from 1 species